GAUGAACGCUGGCGGCGUGCCUAAUACAUGCAAGUCGAGCGAACGGACGAGAAGCUUGCUCCUCUGAUGUUAUCGGCGGACGGGUGAUUAACUCGUGGUUAACCUACCUAUAAGACUGGGAUACCUUCGGGAAACCGGAGCUAAUACCGGAUAAUAUUUUGAACCGCAUGGUUCAAAAGUGAAAGACGGUCUUGCUGUCACUUAUAGCUUGAUCCGCGCUGCAUUAGCUAGUUGGUAAGGUAACGGCUUACCAAGGCAACGAUGCAUAGCCGACCUGAGAGGGUGAUCGGACAGACUGGAAGUGAGACACGGUCCAGACUCCUACGGGAGGCAGCAGUAGAGAAUCUUACGCAAUGGACGAGAGCCUGACGGAGCAACGCCGCGUGAGUGAUGAAGGUGUUAGGAUCGUAAAACUCUGUUAUUAGGGAAGAACAUAUGUGUAAGUAACUGUGCAGAUCAUGACGGUACCUAAUCAGAAAGCCACGGCUAACUACGUG
rnacentral:rRNA from 1 species